UACGUAGGGUGCGAGCGUUAAUCGGAAUUACUGGGCGUAAAGCGUGCGCAGGCGGUUCGCUAAGACCGAUGUGAAAUCCCCGGGCUUAACCUGGGAACUGCAUUGGUGACUGGCGGGCUAGAGUGUGGCAGAGGGGGGUAGAAUCCCACGUGUAGCAGUGAAAUGCGUAGAGAUGUGGAGGAAUACCGAUGGCGAAGGCAGCCCCCUGGGCUAACACUGACGCUCAUGCACGAAAGCGUGGGGAGCAAACAGG
rnacentral:rRNA from 1 species